AGCUGAUCCUGAUGAACGAACGAGGUCAGUUCGCAUAUAAGCUUGGGCAGGCAAGCAGUCUUGAUCGUCGUCAUCAUCCGCGCCCGUCGCAUGAGCGCUGCAAAGUGAUCGACAAACGUAGACGUGUUUCUAAAGGAGUCGAUGAACCGAGGUAGAUCAACGAAACUGAAUUCUGGCGCUUAGCAACAGUCAAACGUAAUUGUACCGUCUAACAACUACUCUCAUUCACGCUCGACUUAGAAAUGCUGUUCACCAAUAAUGAAAUCUACGUAGAAUGCAAUUUACUUCUCCAGUCGACAGAUGAUCGACGAAAAGAAUUAAGCUGACCAAGAAUCAUGGCAUUACCAAUGGAAAAGGAUUAUCAGAAAUAUUGUUUGCGAUUGUAUAAACACUGCACAAUCGAGACAUUGCAAAUAUCUGCAAUUGUCUCGUGUUUCUAGCAGGAAUAAUUCGACACCGAAUAAAUAUUCCG